rnacentral:rRNA from 1 species
CAAGUAGGCGGAUCAAUAAGUCAGUGGUGAAAUCUCUCGGCUCAACCGGGAAACUGCCAUUGAUACUGUUGAUCUUGAGUUCGGUUGAGGUAGGCGGAAUGUGUAAUGUAGCGGUGAAAUGCUUAGAUAUUACACAGAACACCAAUUGCGUAGGCAGCUUACUAGACCGACACUGACGCUGAGGCACGAAAGCGUGGGGAGCGAACAGGAUUAGAUACCCUGGUAGUCC